UACAGAGGGUGCGAGCGUUAAUCGGAAUUACUGGGCGUAAAGCGUGCGUAGGCGGUUUGUUAAGUCUGUCGUGAAAUCCCCGGGCUCAACCUGGGAAUGGCGAUGGAUACUGGCAAGCUAGAGUGUGAUAGAGGAUGGUGGAAUUCCCGGUGUAGCGGUGAAAUGCGUAGAGAUCGGGAGGAACAUCAGUGGCGAAGGCGGCCAUCUGGAUCAACACUGACGCUGAGGCACGAAAGCGUGGGGAGCAAACAG
rnacentral:rRNA from 1 species